rnacentral:rRNA from 1 species
CCUACGGGAUGCAGCAGUGAGGAAUAUUGGUCAAUGGGCGCGAGACUGAACCAGCCAAGUAGCGUGAAGGAUGACUGCCCUACGGGUUGUAAACUUCUUUUAUAAAGGAAUAAAGUGAGGCACGUGUGCCUUUUUGUAUGUACUUUAUGAAUAAGGAUCGGCUAACUCCGUGCCAGCAGCCGCGGUAAUACGGAGGAUCCGAGCGUUAUCCGGAUUUAUUGCGUUUAAAGGGAGCGUAGAUGGGUUGUUAAGUCAGUUGUGAAAGUUUGCGGCUCAACCGUAAAAUUGCAAUUGAUACUGGCAGUCUUGAGUACAGUUGAGGUAGGCGGAAUUCGUGGUGUAGCGGUGAAAUGCUUAGAUAUCACGAAGAACUCCGAUUGCGAAGGCAGCUUACUAAACUGCCACUGACAUUGAUGCUCGAAAGUGUGGGUAUCAAACAGGAUUAGAUACCCCUGUAGUC